rnacentral:rRNA from 1 species
UGGGAAAUUUUGGACAAUGGGCGCAAGCCUGAUCCAGCCAUGCCGCGUGCAGGAUGAAGGCCCUCGGGUUGUAAACUGCUUUUGUACGGAACGAAAAGCCUCUUUCUAAUAAAGAGGGGUGAUGACGGUACCGUAAGAAUAAGCACCGGCUAACUACGUGCCAGCAGCCGCGGUAAUACGUAGGGUGCGAGCGUUAAUCGGAAUUACUGGGCGUAAAGCGUGCGCAGGCGGUCUUGCAAGACAGUGGUGAAAUCCCCGGGCUCAACCUGGGAACUGCCAUUGUGACUGCAAGGCUGGAGUACGGCAGAGGGGGAGGGAAUUCCGCGUGUAGCAGUGAAAUGCGUAGAUAUGCGGAGGAACACCGAUGGCGAAGGCAGUCCCCUGGGCCUGUACUGACGCUCAUGCACGAAAGCGGGGGGAGCAAACA